UACGAAGGGGGCUAGCGUUGUUCGGAAUUACUGGGCGUAAAGGGCGCGUAGGCGGUCCUUCAAGUCAGGCGUGAAAGCCCCGGGCUCAACCUGGGAACCGCGCUUGAGACUGGCGGGCUAGAGUUCGGGAGAGGAUGGUGGAAUUCCCAGUGUAGAGGUGAAAUUCGUAGAUAUUGGGAAGAACACCGAUGGCGAAGGCAGCCCCCUGGGAUAAGACUGACGCUCAUGUACGAAAGCGUGGGGAGCAAACAGG
rnacentral:rRNA from 1 species